CAGAGAUGGCAUCAGUGAAGCUGGAAGACUGCAGUCAAACACUGGAGCUGAAUGUCAACAUUAAAGAUGAAGAAGAGGAGGAGAAGAAGAUUGGGAAAUCUGUUAAUCAUGACAGAAGAGGACCGGCCACCCCUUUGAGCCUGGUUCCUCUCUGUUUCCUCCAAGGUUCCUGCUUUCUAGGGAGUUUUUCGUGGCCAUUGUGCUUCUGCAUUGCUUGCUCUUUGGGGAUUUCGGGUUGGUUUCUGUAAAGAACUUUGUUACAACUUCUGUAAAAAGAGCUUCAUAAAAUACAUUUGAUUGACAUGUAUAUCACACCAAUUGACUUGUUGUUCUGAUAUUGUUC